AUUGAACGCUGGCGGCAUGCCUUACACAUGCAAGUCGAACGGUAACAGGUCUUCGGACGCUGACGAGUGGCGAACGGGUGAGUAAUACAUCGGAACGUGCCUAGUAGUGGGGGAUAACUACUCGAAAGAGUGGCUAAUACCGCAUGAGAUCUACGGAUGAAAGCAGGGGAUCGCAAGACCUUGUGCUACUAGAGCGGCCGAUGGCAGAUUAGGUAGUUGGUGGGAUAAAAGCUUACCAAGCCGACGAUCUGUAGCUGGUCUGAGAGGACGAUCAGCCACACUGGGACUGAGACACGGCCCAGACUCCUACGGGAGGCAGCAGUGGGGAAUUUUGGACAAUGGGCGCAAGCCUGAUCCAGCAAUGCCGCGUGCAGGAUGAAGGCCUUCGGGUUGUAAACUGCUUUUGUACGGAACGAAAAGCCCUGGGUUAAUACCCUGGGGUCAUGACGGUACCGUAAGAAUAAGCACCGGCUAACUACAUGCCAGCCGCCGCCGUAAAAC
rnacentral:rRNA from 1 species